CCUGGCGGCAGUAGCGCGGUGGUCCCACCUGACCCCAUGCCGAACUCAGAAGUGAAACGCCGUAGCGCCGAUGGUAGUGUGGGGUCUCCCCAUGCGAGAGUAGGG
rnacentral:rRNA from 1 species